rnacentral:lncRNA from 1 species
AAUUAAAUAAAUAUUAAUAAUUACUAGAUAAGCUCAAUUAAACAAACACCUAUAACUAUUGGCGUUUCCCUGCAUAUUUCUUCGUUCAUCUCCUCUACUUCUCCAAUUGGAUUAGGCUCAUGGUGCGGUCCCAGAUCAAAGGCUUAAAUUCAACUCAUCUAUAUUCUAGGCCACAACUAACGAAAAAGAAAAAGAAGAAUGAAUCACUAGGAAUAAGGUCUUUGUGAUUUGACUUAGCAGUGAGCUUAGAAAAUUAACAGAAAGCCUGUAUCAGAAGCGUACAAGGAAGAAAUCACCGUAUAUAAACCUGGAAAAAUAUUAUUUCAUUACUGAAAAAAACCAAAAAUUUGACCCUUGUGCAAAUAGAACAUGAAGAAAUCAACCGUUAAUGGCCUUCGAGACUGAAAUUUUUUUUUUUUUUAACUUUAAUUUUAUCAUCUUUGGCACCACGGGGUAAUUAGCGGGAUAGAAAAUUCAACAGAGAAAAACGACAUCGUUUAAGAGGCCGGCCGGGGGAAAAUAAUUAAUUAAAAAAUAAAUUUUAACCAUACAUUUAAUACACGUCACGACACGAGUCAAUACAUCUAGAAAAAAAAACUAAGAUAUUAAUCAGAUCACAAAUGACAUGAAUCCUCCGCCAAUACUCAAUUGCGUGAGGUGUGGAUCAGAUCAGAUGGACAUUAUUUGAAAGGCCAGUAUAACACGGGCUAAACAGUAACAACGGCUUUCCGUAAACAUAUUUCAAACACAAAAAAAAAAAAUCAAGAACAGGAAUGGAUCAGAUCAGAAAGUGAAAAAACAGGAGUGUAAAAGCAAAGCGAUGAAAUUUCCACGAUGACGAAGCUCAAGCUUUUGAUUUGCGUCCUGUCACUUUCUCCAUGACAUACUACAACUGCUCGUCUUUAAUAUCAACAGUUGAACGCAAAUCGAGGUGUAGUGUCAUCGUUCAAAGCAAAAAAGAAUUUACACGUUUUUGAAAUUUGGAAAUUGACUCAUGACUGAUAGACAGAUGACCGACGAUGUCUCCACGCCACUCAACUGAAUAUUGACUAAUGUGGCAGUUUCUUCUAGAGACUGCAGGACUUCCUUCCUCUCUUUAAUUUCCGGUCUUCCCGUCUUGAUUCUGAUUGAAAAACUAACUGACCGUGAAAAGAAUUUUCUCCUCUGCAAACGGGAAGCUGAUUCGACGCCACUCAGAAGCACUAUUCAAUACAAAAUCAGUGAAAAUUUCAGCACCAACGCAGCCUUGCCCCUACGCCUAGUUGAUGGGCAUUUUCUAAUAGGUAAUACAACAUGACAAUAAUGUCAAACACUUAGCAGUGAAAUAUUAUAAUAUAGAUCCCGCUGCGUUACGUUUAUCGUAACGUAUAUUCACACACAGCAAUAGCUCCCAUGGUGGGAUUUGUUAUUGUUGCUGUGUGUGGCGUACGUUACGAUUAACGUAACGUAGCACUAGUCUUAUAAUAUACUACAGCUAAUAAUAUUAUAUAAUAUAAUAUAUUAAACAAACGCACAAAAUAGUUAUUAUUAAGAAUGUGCUAUAUAUUUUGUUAGAAGACUUUUUUGUUAGUGAUUUACUGG